CCUACGGGGGGCAGCAGUCGAGAAUCAUUCACAAUGGGGGAAACCCUGAUGGUGCGACGCCGCGUGGGGGAAUGAAGGUCUUCGGAUUGUAAACCCCUGUCAUGUGGGAGCAAAUUAAAAAGAUAGUACCACAAGAGGAAGAGACGGCUAACUCUGUGCCAGCAGCCGCGGUAAUACAGAGGUCUCAAGCGUUGUUCGGAAUCACUGGGCGUAAGGCGUGCGUAGGCUGUUUCGUAAGUCGUGUGUGAAAGGCGCGGGCUCAACCCGCGGACGGCACAUGAUACUGCGAGACUAGAGUAAUGGAGGGGGAACCGGAAUUCUCGGUGUAGCAGUGAAAUGCGUAGAUAUCGAGAGGAACACUCGUGGCGAAGGCGGGUUCCUGGACAUUAACUGACGCUGAGGCACGAAGACCAGGGGAGCGAAAGGGAUUAGAUACCCGUGUAGUC
rnacentral:rRNA from 1 species